rnacentral:rRNA from 1 species
UACGUAGGGACCAAGCGUUGUUCGGAUUUACUGGGCGUAAAGGGCGCGUAGGCGGCAAAUUAAGUCAGCUGUGAAAUCUCCGAGCUUAACUCGGAACUGUCAGCUGAUACUGAUGUGCUAGAGUGCGGAAGGGGCAAUCGGAAUUCUUGGUGUAGCGGUGAAAUUCGUAGAUAUUCGCAAGAACACCAGUGGCGAAGGCGGCUCACUGGCCCGGUACUGACGCUGAGGUGCGAAAGCGUGGGGAGCAAACAGG